GCCUGGGUGGCUCAGUCGGUUGAGUGUCUGACUUCAGCUCAGGUCAUGAUCUCACAGUCUGUGAGUUCGAGCCCCGCGUUGGGCU
rnacentral:tRNA from 1 species